rnacentral:rRNA from 1 species
AGAGUUUGAUCCUGGCUCAGAGCGAACGCUGGCGGCGUGCUUAACACAUGCAAGUCGAGUGCGCAGUUUCCCGCCGCAAGGCGGGGGAUGGGCGCACGGCGCACGGGUGCGUAACACGUGGGUAACCUGCCCUUCGAUGGGGGACAACCCCGCGAAAGCGGGGCUAAUACCGCAUGACAUUCCGUUGAUUUCGAUCGCCGGAAUCAAAGCCCGCAAGGGCGUCGGAGGAGGGGCCCGCGCCCGAUUAGCUUGUUGGUGAGGUAAUGGCUCACCAAGGCUAUGAUCGGUAGCCGGUCUAAGAGGACGAUCGGCCACACUGGAACUGAGACACGGUCCAGACUCCUACGGGAGGCAGCAGUGGGGAAUCUUGCGCAAUGGGCGAAAGCCUGACGCAGCGACGCCGCGUGGGGGAUGAAGCCCUUCGGGGUGUAAACCCCUUUCGACCCGGACGAAUGGCCCGCAAGGGAAUUGACGGUACGGGUAGAAGAAGCCCCGGCUAACUACGUGCCAGCAGCCGCGGUAAAACGUAGGGGGCCAGCGUUGCUCGGAAUUACUGGGCGUAAAGGGUUCGUAGGCGGUGCGGCAAGUCGGAAGUGAAAUCUCAGGGCUUAACUCUGAGGCUGCUUCCGAAACUGCCGCGCUCGAGUGCGGGAGAGGCGAGUGGAAUUGCAGGUGUAGCGGUGAAAUGCGUAGAUAUCUGCAGGAACACCCGUGGCGAANGCGGCUCGCUGGACCGCAACUGACGCUGAGGAACGAAAGCUAGGGGAGCAAACAGGAUUAGAUACCCUGGUAGUCCUAGCCCUAAACCAUCAGGACUUGGGGUGCAUCCCGUUUGGGGUGCGUCCCGGAGCUAACGCGUUAAGUCCUGCGCCUGGGGAGUANGGUCGCAAGGCUGAAACUCAAAGGAAUUGACGGG